AUGCUUAUGCUGGAUAAAAACCAUCCAGAUUCUCGCAUUUCCAUUAAGAACCUAAAUUGUAGCAGUGAUUCCACUUUUGUUAAACUGCAUAACAUAAUGUCUUAUGCUUCAGUGAAAUCGCGAGUUGGGAAGUUUUGUGUCUGUCAGAGUUCUGAUACGUGUAAUCUAUUCAUAUGGGAUGAAGAUCUUGGCGUAAAAUCUAGAAAUGAAGAUGUUACCAUUAAGAACUCAGAGUUGGAAGCCAUGACAUCUGUGGGAUUAUGA